CCGAAAAACAAAUAUUGGUAGUAGUUGCAGUAUAUUCUUCUCUACUUGGGAUACAUCCAAACAUCUUCAAAAGAAUUUCUGUACGCGAAAAAGCAUCUGAAAUCAAAUCAUCAAUCCUGAGAAAAUGAGUGGUUAGGGUUCGAAUUCAGAAUUCUCCAACCAGAAUCAAAGUUUCAUAAGCGCGAUAUAAUGCUAUGGUAAGGCAAAGAAAUGGAAUUUGGAGAAAUUGGUCGGUGUUUCUUCUCUAAAUCGAUGAACAGCUAUGGAUUUCCAGAAUGUUCUCCCAUAAUUGAUGAUAUUUCUCUGUUUUCUGGGGGGAAAAGACUGAAAUUUUAGGUGCCCAUUUUUAUUUGAAUGUGGAAGUUUAGGAGAAGUGCCUUUUUGUCCCGAAAGGGGGAUGUUCUUCUUCCUCACUUGAACAAUCGCUGUUAGAGUAAGCUGAGGAGUUUAAAUCUAUGUGGAAAUCGCUUGUUUCCUUCACUCAAGUUUGCUGUAAAUUGCUUUAAACGGCUAGAUUUUGCAUCUAUAAAGUGUACGUAGAAGCUGGACUUUUUGUGUUAGAUUUAUGAUAAGCUAAUUUUGAAUGGCGACCGUUCCUUCGGUGUCAAUUCAGUGGAUUCCUGAAGAUGACCUCUUGCUGAAGAAUGCUGUAGAGGCUGGUGCAUCAUUGGAAGCACUUGCCAAAGGUGCGGUACAAUUUUCUCGCAGAUAUACUUUACGUGAACUGCGAGAGAGAUGGUACUCUCUUCUUUAUGAUCCUGAUAUUUCAGCCCAAGCUUCUGCUCAUAUCUUUGAGCUUGAGAUCUCUGGCAUCAGUCCAGCAGCAUCAAAGUUAAAUAGAUCAGAGAACAACUUCACAGGAAAUAAAGAGGUUUCGCAGAAGAGGAAAUUAGAAAGCAUCCGUAGAAAAUAUUAUGCUAUGAGAAAAAGAUUCCGUAGUGAAUUUUUCAGUAACAGUGAUCUAGGGUUUUUUGAACCUAAUCCUCAUGAAUUCAGCGGGCCUGGUGCUGAUUUUCACAAACAGGUAAUGCUUGAUGGUAGUCCUUUGGGUCAAAACUGUAUGCUUGGAGAUAAUAUACCGGAUCAUUUAGGACUUCAAGAAGAAGAUUUAGAUAUUUUACGGCAUGCUUUUCCAGAAACAAUAAGGGAUAUUGCUGUGGCAUCUGGUGCAACUAAUGUAUCACAGGCUGGAUGCUCAAAUUCCUUUGAGGACAAUCGCCAAAAUAAAAUCAUGGGACGUUAUGGAUUUGAUGAGAAUGUCACUUCCUCAAUAACAGAAGGCAGGAAUUUGGAGGUCAAUAUCAAAAACAGAAAAAGUGCACUUACUCUCAGAAAAAAUUCAAUACAUGAAAAUCCUAAUGAUCCUCCUGUUGGCUUUGAAGGCAGACAACAAUUCAGUGCCCCUAAUUCAGAUGGCUUUUCGUCUUUUCAAACAAUGGUGUUUGCAUCUGACCAGCCUCACUUGCGCCACUGGAGAGGGACGCAAGAUGUUUCAGCUUCAGUACCUGUUAGCAUGAGCCUGCAAGAUACAGCUCAGGUCGCUGAAGAUAUGAUUCCCAAUGAUGUAGAGGGUAAAGAAAGUAGUUCAGCAGUGUAUGCAGGUGAAUUUGCGGAUCCUGAUUCACUUUUGAACCUUUCAAAUGAGGAUGAGAUUCUUUUGGUGGAUGAAGAUGAAAAGCAUGCAGAGAAUAAAUGUUGUAUUGAUGAUGUUAGUUCAGUCCUCGAGGGUUCUAACAAAGAUGGUCAGAGAAAUGAUGUUGCAAAAGUUGAACAGGAGACCGGAACAGUUCCGCAGGCUAGUUUGGCACCUGAUCCUACUGAAAACCCCGCGGCAUUAGUUGCUGUGUCCUCUGUUGAUGGAGACCAGCAAAUAAAUCAUAACCCAGAGGUUGUUGUGCCUUCAAAAUCCACUUUAGCUUCUGAUUUUACGGAACUUAGUAAUGGCAAAAUCUGCUGCACAUUGAACACUGAGGACACUGAAAUUCCAUGCAAUGAUGAUAUAUUCUUGCUUAUCCAUCCUUCCACGUCAUUUGGUUAUUCUGCAACACAACCAGUCACCACGGUUUCUAAAAAUGCAUGUGCUGCCGCUCACGAGAAGGAUAAUGCCCAAGCUGUAAACUUGUCAAUGAAAGCAAAAGAUUCCACCAAAGUUCUUGGGUGGCCCCAGAAGGUGGGAAUGCAUAGUUUGCCAGAAUCGCGGUCAGUGCACCCACUUGUUGGCGGUGCAUCCAAAACUGAAAUUCAUGACUCCACCCCUCAGGCCCUUCUUCCUGGAUUUGUCAACACAACCAUCGGAGAUUCCAGUAAAGGAAGAUCGCUUUAUGCAAUUGCAAAAGUAUCCAGUGAUAGUCUGGCUGAUAAAGAAGUUCAGGGAGUUGAUAUGAAGGUUAGAGACAACCCAACAACAGUUACUGAGACUAUGCGAUCCACGGAAACAGGUUUUGCAAGAACCCCCCUUCCAGAAUCAGCAGCCGAUUCCUCAGUAUCAGAUCCUGAGGAAUCUCUUAUUGAUGAUGAUGUGCCUUAUUUUUCUGAUGUAGAAGCUAUGAUACUUGAUAUGGACUUAGAUCCAUAUGAUCAAGACUCCCACAUUAGCAGGCAAGUUCCUAGUUAUCAGUACGAUGACACUAAGAGAACAAUCAUAAGGUUGGAACAAGGUGCUCGUUCCUGCUUGCAAAGGGCCAUGACAUCUCAAGGAGCUCUAGCUAUCUUAUAUGGCCGCCAUUUGAGGCAUUACAUCAGGAAGCCUGAGGUUUUACUUGGAAGAUCAACUGAUGAUGUUGAUGUUGACAUUGAUCUAAGAAAAGAAGGACGAGCUAAUAAAAUAUCUAGGCGGCAGGGCACCAUUUAUUGUUGUUUUGGAUGUAUUGCAAUCUCAACUGGCAUUUCCAUUUAUAUCUGCUUAGGCUAUCAUCAAGAUGGAAGCUGAUGGAUCUUUCUUUAUAAGAAAUCUUGGUAAGAGUUCACUAUCAGUGAAUGGCACAACAGUAGCAACUGGGCAGUUGCUGAACCUUAGUUCCAGUUGUUUGAUUGAGAUAAAGGGAAUGAGUUUUGUGUUUGAGAUCAACCAAGGAUAUGUGAGGAAGCACUUGGGUAGUUUUUGUGUGAGAAACAAAGGAAAGACGGGCAAGUCUGACUGGUCGGCUGAGGACGAAUCAUGAGCUUGUGAGUGCUGCUAAACAAGGUCGGUUCCUUAUAACCCUUUACUGGAUACGUCGAGCCUGUGCAUGUAUAAGUUAAGUUGCUUCGCUUUACGAUGUGUAAAUGUAGAUAUUAGCUGGUUUUAGCGCAUAUAUGCAAUGAUCUCUAUAUACCACGUACAGCUUCCUCUUGUUAUAUAGCAUAUCGAUCUUGAUGUACUAUAUCUGUAGUUUUACAGUACUAAAAUUCGUCAGGUUCUUUUUCUUUUUCUCAA